AGUUAUUUAGCUUAUAAAAAGUGUAUAUUUUGAAAAUAUAAGAAAGAGUUUUUUAAUAACUU
rnacentral:tRNA from 1 species